AGAAUCAACGCUGGCGGCGUGCCUAACACAUGCAAGUCGAACGCGAAAGUGGAGCAAUCCAUGAGUAGAGUGGCAAACGGGUGAGUAACGCGUGGGCGACCUGCCUUCGAGUGGGGGAUAACAUUCCGAAAGGGAUGCUAAUACCGCAUAACAUCCUUCGUUUAGAUACGAGGUGAUCAAAGCUGGGAGCAAUCCUGGCGCUUAAAGAGGGGCCCGCGUCCGAUUAGCUAGUUGGUGGGGUAAUGGCCUACCAAGGCUCCGAUCGGUA
rnacentral:rRNA from 1 species